rnacentral:tRNA from 1 species
GAGGUUUUGGCUUAGUGGUGGAGUGCUUGCUUAGAAUGUAUGAGGCAUUGAGUUCAAUUCUCAGCAACCCA